rnacentral:rRNA from 1 species
CGUCUCAGUUCAGAUUGCAGGCUGCAACCCGCCUGCAUGAAGUCGGAACUGCUAGUAAUCGCGGAUCAGCAUGCCGCGGUGAAUACGUUCCCGGGCCUUGUACACACCGCCCGUCACACCAUGAGAGCCGGGGGGACCCGAAGUCCGUAGCUUAACCGCAAGGAGGGCGCGGCCGAAGGUAAAACUGGUGAUUGGGGUGAAGUCGUAACAAGGUAUC